CCUACGGGAGGCAGCAGUGGGGAAUAUUGGACAAUGGGCGCAAGCCUGAUCCAGCCAUGCCGCGUGUGUGAAGAAGGCCUUCGGGUUGUAAAGCACUUUUGUCCGGAAAGAAAAGCAUUGGGUUAAUACCCCGAUGUCAUGACGGUACCGGAAGAAUAAGCACCGGCUAACUUCGUGCCAGCAGCCGCGGUAAUACGAAGGGUGCAAGCGUUACUCGGAAUUACUGGGCGUAAAGCGUGCGUAGGUGGUUUGUUAAGUCUGAUGUGAAAGCCCUGGGCUCAACCUGGGAAUGGCAUUGGAAACUGGCUUACUAGAGUGCGGUAGAGGGUAGUGGAAUUCCCGGUGUAGCAGUGAAAUGCGUAGAUAUCGGGAGGAACAUCUGUGGCGAAGGCGACUACCCGGACCAGCACUGACACUGAGGCACGAAAGCGUGGGGAGCAAACAGGAUUAGAUACCCUGGUAGUCCACGCCCUAAACGAUGCGAACUGGAUGUUGGGAGCAACUUGGCUCUCAGUAUCGAAGCUAACGCGUUAAGUUCGCCGCCUGGGAAGUACAGUCGCAAGACUGAAACUCAAAGGAAUUGACGG
rnacentral:rRNA from 1 species